AAUUUUCAGCAAGGAAUCUCUGGCUUCUCCAUCCAAUGAAAACGGCACCGAAUUGCAAUAAGUAUGGUGAAUUGCAAAAUUCAUUGAUUCAUCGAACCUUUGAACGCACCUGGCCUUCCUGGUAAUUCCAAGAAGCAGGCCGGUUGGAUGGCCAUG
rnacentral:rRNA from 1 species